rnacentral:rRNA from 1 species
GACGAACGCUGGCGGCGUGCUUAACACAUGCAAGUCGAACGAUGAAGCGGUGCUUGCACCGUGGAUGAGUGGCGAACGGGUGAGUAAUGCGUGAGUGACCUGCCCCCUUCUUCGGGAUAAGCCUUGGAAACGGGGUCUAAUACCGGAUAUUCCCUUCCUUCUGCAUGGUUGGUUGGGGAAAGUUUUUUCGGUGGGGGAUGGGCUCGCGUCCUAUCAGCUUGUUGGUGGGGUGAUGGCCUACCAAGGCGUCGACGGGUAGCCGGCCUGAGAGGGUGACCGGCCACACUGGGACUGAGAUACGGCCCAGACUCCUACGGGAGGCAGCAGUGGGGGAUAGUUGCACAAUGGGCGCAAGCCUGAUGCAGCGACGCCGCGUGAGGGAUGACGGCUUUCGGGUUGUAAACCUCUUUUACUAUUGAACAAGGCGCCAUAUUGGUGGUGUUGAGGGUAGGUGGUGAAUAAGCGCCGGCUAACUAACGUG